rnacentral:rRNA from 1 species
GAUGAACGCUGGCGGCGUGCCUAAUACAUGCAAGUCGAGCGAACAGAUGAGGAGCUUGCUCCUCUGACGUUAGCGGCGGACGGGUGAGUAACACGUGGAUAACCUACCUAUAAGACUGGGAUAACUUCGGGAAACCGUAGCUAAUACCGGAUAAUAUAUUGAACCGCAUGGUUCAUUAGUGAAAGGCGGUUUUGCUGUCACUUAUAGAUGGAUCCGCGCCGCAUUAGCUAGUUGGUAAGGUAACGGCUUACCAAGGCAACGAUGCGUAGCCGACCUGAGAGGGUGAUCGGCCACACUGGAACUGAGACACGGUCCAGACUCCUACGGGAGGCAGCAGUAGGGAAUCUUCGGCAAUGGGCGAAAGCCUGACGGAGCAACGCCGCGUGAGUGAUGAAGGUCUUCGGAUCGUAAAACUCUGUUAUAAGGGAAGAACAAAUGUGUAAGUAAAUAUGCACGUCUUGACGGUACCUAAUCAGAAAGCCACGGCUAACUACGUG